rnacentral:rRNA from 1 species
UACGUAGGGGGCAAGCGUUGUCCGGAAUUAUUGGGCGUAAAGAGCGUGUAGGCGGUCCGGUAAGUCAGCUGUGAAAGUCAAGGGCUCAACCCUUGAAAGCCGGUUGAUACUGUCGGGCUAGAGUCCGGAAGAGGCGAGUGGAGUUCCCGGUGUAGCGGUGAAAUGCGCAGAUAUCGGGAGGAACACCAAUGGCGAAGGCAGCUCGCUGGGACGGUACUGACGCUGAGACGCGAAAGCGUGGGGAGCGAACAGG